rnacentral:rRNA from 1 species
CAGCCGCCGCGGGAAUACGAAGGGUGCAAGCGUUACUCGGAAUUACUGGGCGUAAAGCGUGCGUAGGUGGUGGUUUAAGUCCGUUGUGAAAGCCCUGGGCUCAACCUGGGAAUUGCAGUGGAUACUGGGUCACUAGAGUGUGGUAGAGGAUAGUGGAAUUUCCGGUGUAGCAGUGAAAUACGUAGAGAUCGGAAGGAACAUCUGUGGCGAAGGCGACUAUCUGGGCCAACACUGACACUGAGGCACGAAAGCGUGGGGAGCAAACAGGAUUAGAUCCCGUGUAGUCCCUGUCUCUUAUACC